UCGAAUUAUGCCACUUUUUAUAGUUCCCCCUUUCUUUUCUUUUUUUUUUCCUUUUUUUUUUCCCCAUCCAAAAAAGGAAAAAAAAAAAAAGAAAAGAAAGGGGGAACUAUAAAAAGUGGCAUAAUUCGA